UGGGAUAACUCCGGGAAACCGGGCUAAUACCGAAUUAUUCAUUUCCUCUCAUGUGGAAAUGUAAAAAGACGGUUUCGGCUGUCACUACAGGGAUGGGCUCGCGGGCGCAUUAGCUAGUUGGUGAGGUAACGGCUCACCAAGGCGACGAUGCGUAGCCGACCUGAGAGGGUGAUCGGCCACACUGGGACUGAGACACGGCCCAGACUCCUACGGGAGGCAGCAGUAGGGAAUCUUCCACAAUGGACGAAAGUCUGAUGGAGCAAUGCCGCGUGAGUGAAGAAGGUUUUCGGAUCGUAAAACUCUGUUGUGAGGGAAGAACAAGUACGAGAGUAACUGCUCGUACCUUGACGGUACCUCAUUAGAAAGCCACGGCUAACUACGUGCCAGCAGCCGCGGUAAUACGUAGGUGGCAAGCGUUGUCCGGAAUUAUUGGGCGUAAAGCGCGCGCAGGCGGUCCUUUAAGUCUGAUGUGAAAUCCCACGGCUCAACCGUGGAAGGUCAUUGGAAACUGGGGGACUUGAGUACAGAAGAGGAAAGCGGAAUUCCAAGUGUAGCGGUGAAAUGCGUAGAGAUUUGGAGGGACACCAGUGGCGAAGGCGGCUUUCUGGUCUGUAACUGACGCUGAGGCGCGAAAGCGUGGGGAGC
rnacentral:rRNA from 1 species